GGUCCCCAUCUUAGAACAUGCAGCAGCGGUUUUCUACUCUCUUCCUUGGCAAAAUCGCCGUCUCUCCGGCGAAUCGAGGCCUCUCUGCGUCGCCGCGGCGUCGCCGGCUCCGCCUCUUCUCCCAAUUUUGCACAUUUACCCUAAUUUAGUCCAAGUCUCAAAAUCCCUAAAUUAAAAUCACCUCGAAGAACCCAGCGGCGUCUCCUUCUCGUGCUCGUUGCUGUUCCGGUCGGCUUUCCUCUGCGUCUCAUCCCUCCGACCAACGUCGUCCGUCGCUCACGCCUCCAUCACCUCCCACUCGCGACGGCAGGCACGUCAUCGCGGCUGCCGAAGUCCGCCACGCACGCCGCCCUCUUCCCUUUCGGCGUCCAGCGACGCCGACCUCGUCCCGGCUGCUCAACGAGCAGAGCUGCCGCUCCUCUCGGUUCUCCGGAGUUUCCGUCACCGCUCGACCAUCGCCGGGCAGCUCUGCCGACUACUCCUCACUCCAAAGCUAAGUCCCCAAUCCCUUAGCCCCUUUUUAGUUUAGAAAUACUAAAGCUUUGAUCUUGGGCAGACUGUUAUUGUUCUUGGCCGUCGCUUAUUUGUGUUUUUCGGGGUGGAGCAUUGGUGAAGCUUACUGUUAUUAUGUUGCUCAAACUGAAAUCUUGCUAAGUUCUUGCUUAUGAUACUAUGCCACUGAAUUCAUAGGGAGGGCAGCAAUGUGGUUAUCUCUAUUUCGUAUAAGCUCUAGGCUCUUGAGUUCCAAACUCGAUAUUUAAGAUUUGCUACUUGUGUGUGAGGAUCCUAUGGAAAUCUCUAAGUUCUUGUGCUAGCUAUUCGUUGUUCUACAUGAUGCGAUGGAGAUGGUUGGUGUUGAGGUUGUUUACCUCACUUGCUGAACUUGUAUCGGUGGUGGCGGUUUUCGCCCUCGCCGCUCGCCGCUCCUUCCUCUCCUCUUCGCCGCCCCGCGCUUGGUGUCGUGUGUGGUUGGCGGUGUCGAGUAGUGGGGUGGCGGAGGUGAAGGGAGAUGGCUCCUAUAUAGUGCUAAGCUAUUGGAAUCUAUGUUUGAAACUUGGAGGCAAAGGCUCCUAUUUUGGGGUUGCUAGCUCUUUCUCUUUCGAGCUUGAUGAUUGUGAGAUUCUUGCCGUUUUGGUGAUUGUGGCUGAUCUUCUUGGCUGAUUUCUCGGCCUUGAUCGACGGGGAGAUGAGAGUUUGACUCAUCUUCUACUUUGGGCUUGUGUACAUGGAGGCAUUCUUGGAGCUUGUGGAGGGGAGCAAAAUCGAGAAUAAGAAUGAGAGGGAAAGAAAGAAGAUGUUGCUCUUGAGCUCAUUUGGUUCUAUCCCCAAUUUAGUUUGCUUCCAAACUUGAGAAUUAAAGAAGUAGGAUAGAUAGUGUAGAAUAGGUGCAUGUUGAUUUUAUCACACUUGUAGGCAUGUACUAUUUCCAUCAUCCAUGUAUUUUAUUCCUCAAAUAACUAUCAAAUAAAAGCAUAGUUUUUUUU